ACAUUACCUUGGGUUUACCUUGCUGUUUUCUUUAAAUGUUUAAUUAGGUAGGAAAUUAGAUAAUUGUAGUUUUAUUCCAACAUAAUUAAAUAUAUAAAUUUCCUCCAAACACUGCUUUAGCUUCAUCUCAUAAAUUGUUAUCUUGCAUUUCCACAAUCACUCGGUCCAAAAUAUUUUCUGAUUUCCCUUUGACAUCUCUUGACCAACUGAUUACAAAAAAGUGUGUCACUUUCCAAAUACUUGAAAUUUAAUUCCACUGCGGUCAAAAUUCAUACUCUAUAUAAUCUUAAUCCUUUGUACCUUAUGGCCCAGCAUGUACAAAGCCCAGCAUGCUCUGUUUUGGUGAAUGUACCAUAUGCAUGUGAAAAGAAUGAGAAUUCUCUAGCUGUAAGAUAUAACGUUUAAUAAACAUCAAUAUGAUCAAGAAUGGCUAAUAAUAAAUUUCAAAUCUUCUGAGUAAUUUUUUUUUAUUAGUUGCUGAAAGAGUUACAUUAAAAUCUCAAUCUGAUUGUGGAACUAUUUCUGCCUUUAGUCAGUUUUCAUGUAUUAAGUCAUUCUGCAUUAAAUAAAUAUACACUUAUGAUUGAUAUGUCCUCCUGAUGAACUUUUGUUACUAUGAAGAAUCCACAUUACCUGAUACAAAAUUUUUCUGUUGCAAUCUAUUUUACCUGAUAUUAAUAUAGUCACUUCAAUCUUUUACUGUUUUCUUAAAAUAUGCUUUUCAAUCUAUUUAUUUUCAACUUACCUGUGUCUAGUAUUUCUCUGUAAACUGUACAUUUAUUUUUUUGAGAUAAGUCUGGCUCUGUCACCCAGGCUGGAGUGCAGUGGCACAAUCUUGGCUCACUGCAACCCACACCUCCCGAGUUGAAGCAAUUCUCCUGCCUCAGCCUCCCAAGUAGCUGGGGUUAUAGGGAUGCGCCACCAUGCCUGGAUAAUUUUUGUAUUUUUUAAGUAGAGGCAGGGUUUCACUAAGUUGGCCAGGCUGGUCUCAAACUCCUGACCUCAAGUGAUCCACCUGCCUCGGCCUCCCAAAGUGUUGGGAUUAUGGGCAUGAGCCACUGCACUUGGCUUGCUUUUUAGUUUACUUAUUAUUAUUAUUAUUAUUAUUAUUAUUAUUAUUAUUAUUAUUUUGAGAUAGAGUCUUGCUCUGCUGCCCAGGCUGGAGUGCAGUGGCACGAUCUUGGCUCACUGCAACCUCCACCUCCCAGGUUCAAGCGAUUCUCCUGCCUCAGCCUCCUGAGUAGCUGGCAUUACAAAUGCGCAUCACCACAUCCAGCUAAUUUUUUGUAUUUUUAGUAGACAUGGGGUUUCAACAUAUUGCCCAGACUGGUUUCAAACUCCUGAGCUCAGGGCAAUUGGCCCAUCUUGGCCUCCAAAAGUGCUAGGAUUACAGGCCUGAGCCACCACAGCCAGCCUUGCUUUUAAUUUUUAAUCCAUGAUGACAAUCUGACAAUCUCUUUCAUUCAAUUGAAGUGGUUCUUCCAUUUCUAUUUAAUGGAAUUUUUGAAUGAUUAGGUGUUUAUCUACCAUUUUUACUACUGUUUUUCUAUUUGUAGCCUCUGUAUUUUGUUCCUUAGCUUCCCUUCCGGACUUUGAACAAUAUAUCUAUAUAUACAUUAUUUCAAUAUAUUUUAUAAUUCCAUUUCAGUUUUUAAGUUAUACUUAAAGGCUCUUUACAUAUACCUUUUGGCAUUGCUUUUUCAGUUAUUGCUAUAGGGGAUACAAUACAAAUCUUUAACUUUUCAAGGCCUACUUACAAUCAAUAUUAUACUGUUUCACAUAAUAUGUAGAAACCUGUAACCACAUACGUCCACGUGUACACAUACAAGAAUCAAAAACUCCACAGGACAAUACUAUUCCCCCCCCCCUUUAUUAAAUGGUCAUAUGUAAUAUAAAGAAAUUAAGAAGGGGGAAGGAGCAAAAAAAAUGGUUAUUUUCCUCUUUAUGAAGGUAUUUACCAGUAUCAGGGUAAAAAUUUCUAUGUAAUCAACUUUCCAUCUGCUCUCAUUUCUCUUUAGCCUGUAAAAUUCCCUUUAGCAUUACCUGGUGUGCUUAUCUGCUGGCAAUUAGUUCUGUCUGUUAUCUUUCAUUUCAAAAUGGCUUUCUUUCACCUUUAUUUUUAAGAUAUUUUCACUGGUUAUAGAAUUCAGGGUUGGCAAUUUCUUACUUUUACCAUUGAUUGAUUGACUGACUGAUUGACUGACUGACUGAGACGGAGUCUCACUCUGUCACCCAGGCUGGAGUGAAACGCCAUCAUAAAAAAAAAAAAAAGAAAGAAAGAAAGAAAGAAAGAAAGAAAAGAAAAAGAAAAAAAGAUAUUUUACUCUCUUCUGGCUCUCUACCAUGUUCUGAUAAGAAGUGAGCAAUUAAUCAUAUCAUUGUUCCCCUAUAUAUGGUGUGUAAUUUUUUCUUGCUGCUUUCAUGAUUGGUUCUUUAUAAUCUUCGGCUUUUCACAGUUUUACCCUCUGAUGUAACUCAGUGUAGUCUUCCUUGUGUUCAUUCUACUUGCUGUUUCUUAAGCAUCUUGAAUUUGCAUAUUUAUGUCUUUCAUCAAAUUUGUGAGAUUUUUCUGCCAUUAGUUCUUCAAGUAUUUUUUUUCAGUCUUAUUUACCCUCUUUUUCUAAGACUCCAAUUAUACAUAUGUCAGACCACUUCACAGGCCAUUCCUACCUCUCAAUUUUUUUUCUCUUUGUUCUUUACAAUGGAACAUUUCUAUUGCUCUUUCUUCAAAUUCACAUACUCUUUCCUCAACAGUUAUGUCAUCUAGUGAAUUUUUUAUUUCAGAUAUUCUAUUUUUCAGUUUUAAAUUUUCCAUUGGUUCCUUUUUUUGCUUCUAUUUCUCUGUAAGAACUGUCUUUCUGUAUUUUGUCCUUAUGAGACUAGUUAACAGCUAUUUAAAAAAACAAAAACAAAAAAUCUGUCUCUUAGUUCCAAAAUGUAAUGGUUGGUAUCAGCUGAUUUUCUUUUGAGAGUAUGAUUUACUUUCAGAGCUUAAUUUUAAACUGUAUCCUGAUUCUAGAUUAUUUUGACGAAUUUUUUUCUUUUGUUUCUGGUUCUGGUUUUGUUUUCGUUUUGUUUUGUAGUAGGCAAUAUCUUGAUUCAAUUGAGGGCUGCACACUUUGUUUCUCAGGUGCCAACUAUGGUCUUAGUUCACAUCUUUAGAUGAGAUGCUUAUGUCUACUCUGCACAUAUAAUCCUGGGGUCAGCUACAAUUUGGGGAUUCCCGUUCUCUUUUCUUUCCCUUCUUUUUAUCUUUCUCCAUCAGCAGAGAUUUCUCUGGGUUGGAAUGAGUGCCACCUAAUGUGCUUUGCCUCAGGCUAAAAGCCAGGAAAACUAGUAUUCAGUGUACUAACUUCCUUCCUUCAAGGACCAACUCUAUUUCAGACUCUGCUUACACUCAUCCUACAGAGUUCCUUGGAGUAGCUGGUUUUUAUCGUGCAUAUUUUAGAGUUGCUUAUUGCAGGGGAUUAAGUAUGACAGAAAUUUACUCAUUCAUUACCGGAAACAGAAACCCUCAAGUUCUUAUUUUGGCAGUUCAAAGCCCAUUCUUCCAUAGAAAUAUCAAUAAUCC
rnacentral:lncRNA from 10 species